CGCGGUAAUUCCAGCUCCAAUAGCGUAUACUAAAGUGUUGCAGUUAAAAAGCUCGUAGUUGGAUUUCUGGCGGGGACGGCUGGUCGGUCUCGAAAGGGGCUGUACUGUUGUUGGUUCCCGUCAUCCUUGGGGAGAGCGGCUCUUACAUUAAGUUGUCGGCGUCGGGAUCCCUAUCUUUUACUGUGAAAAAAUUAGAGUGUUCAAAGCAGGCUUAGGCCCUGAAUACAUUAGCAUGGAAUAAUAAGAUACGACCUUGGUGGUCUAUUUUGUUGGUUUGCACGCCAAGGUAAUGAUUAAUAGGGAUAGUUGGGGGUAUUCGUAUUCAAUUGUCAGAGGUGAAAUUCUUGGAUUUAUGGAAGACGAACUACUGCGAAAGCAUUUACCAAGGAUGUUUUCAUUAAUCAAGGACGAAAGUUAGGGGAUCGAAGAUGAUUAGAUACCAUCGUAGUCUUAACCAUAAACUAUGCCGACUAGGGAUCGGUGGGUGCAUUUUUAGGCCUCAUCGGCACCUUAUGAGAAAUCAAAGUCUUUGGGUUCCGGGGGGAGUAUGGUCGCAAGGCUGAAACUUAAAGAAAUUGACGG
rnacentral:rRNA from 1 species